rnacentral:lncRNA from 1 species
CAGCAGCAUGUGAGAAUGUCAGCCAUAAGCACCAAAGAGAAAAAGAAAGCAAAGGAAUGGGUGUGGGAAGUCUGGGGUGGGGGUGGGGGUGGAGGCGGUGGGGUAUCUAGUGGUUUGUAUGUCUUUCUGCAAGGAUUUCCCAAACCCCUCUUCCUCAGAACUGCUUCUGUCUUACAGGCUGCCAGUGCACAGUAUAGGUAGCUUGAUGACGGUAUUUAACACAUGCGUCCUUGUACUUAUAUAGACGGGCUAUUUAUACACAUGGGUCAUGCGUUGCAACUGGAAUCUAGGUCCCUAGAGACUUGGUACCUUCAAACUCCAGCCCCUGGACAUGCUUUACACAGCCGCUGUUCACAGGGUGUUUCCUGAAUGGAGAGAGAGCUCUGCCCAUCAGAAGUCCAGUCUAAUGUACGUGGGCUUCUGUUUUUGCCCCUUCAGUGUUUUUUCCUAUACAUUUCUCUCCUUGUUUUUCUUUCCUGUUUGCAACAGAGGUUUUUUUAAAUACUUUCCGGAGAAGCGAUGGAGAAAAGCAUAAAACAGACUCGGGGAGAGGAACUUAAACUGGGACCACAAGUGAGGUCCCUACAACCAUCUUGGAUCCAGGACCGUCCUCCAGACGCCGGCACCACAAGGUCCAGAUCUACGGUGACCACUAGGAAUCUGCUCCUCGGAGAGUCCAUCUCCGUCAUCGAUUCUGGGUAACACCCACCUUUUCCUUGUGCUCUCUUGAGCGCACUCUUGACCUUGCAACUAAAUGAACUGAACUAGAGCGGGCAUGGCUGAUGCACAGUCUUAAAAACAAAAUUCUGACUGUAAAAUUCGAAGGAUCCUAAGGGUUUUCUAACUCAAAGCAUGCAUGGAUUCUGACAAUUAAACAACACUUGCAACACCCAAAGCUGCUUGUAUUUCACGGCAUCAAGACAGAGGACAAGCUAUGACCAGACCUAACCGAAGUGCUUGUAACUGUGCAAAAGAGGUGAUGCUCAGUCCAGAGCAACGCAAAGACCAACUAAGAUUAUCCCCAGGGCCUAAGCUCUGCUGUGAGGGUGUGACUGACAUACAGUUAGGGCAGAGACUGUGAACCUCUAAAUGUCACUUUGGAUAGACAUAAACCAGUCCCUCAUCAAAGGCUGCAUUUUGUAAAAGGGCACCCACUGAGCAGCUCUUGACCUACCAGAACAUUGGCCUUCACAGCAUCCUGACAGACACAGUAUAAAGAGUUCUGGACUAAAAUGAAAGAUCCUGGGAGUUCCCACUGCGGUGCAGUGGGUUAAGGAACCGGCAUUGGCACAGCUGUGGUUUAAGUUGCAUCUGUGGCUCAGAUUCCAUCUCUGACCUGGGAAAUUCUAUAUGCCUCAGGUGCAGCCAGAAACAACCAAACAAAAAGAGUGAUCCUGGGUAAGACUCCCAGCUCUUCAUGUAGCAGCCAUGUGACUUGAACAAGCAACUUUAACUUUCUAAGCCACAUCCAUGCAACAAAAAGCAAGUACUAAAUAAAAGAUCAUCAAUGGAUAAACAACAAUAUACCAUAUAGCACAGGGAACAAUAUGUAUUCAAUAUCCUGUGAUAAACCAUAAAGGAAAAGAAUAUGAAAAAGAAUCUAUAAGUAUUAUGCCUGUGUUACUUUGCCGUACGGUAGAGAUUAACACAUCAUUGUGACUCAACUGUACUUCAGUAAAAUAUGUAAUAAAAAAAGAUCAAGAUCCAUGUCAGCUCUAAAAGUGUAUAAUUGUGAUUCAAAGAUUCUCAACUACUCGUCAACAACCAGUUGC